UUACUCGACAGUACACAUACUAAAAUUGGAAAGAUACACAGAAGAUUGGCAUGGCCCCUGUGCAAGGAUUCACAGAAUCCCUACAGCGUGGAAACAGGCCCUU